rnacentral:rRNA from 1 species
CCUGGCGGCCAUAGCGCCGUGGAACCACCUGAACCCAUGCCGAACUCAGAAGUGAAACGCGGUAGCGCCGAUGGUAGUGUGGCAUUCGC